rnacentral:RNase_P_RNA from 1 species
GCGGACGGUCGGGCAGUCGCGGCACCUUCGGGCGUCGAGGAAAGUCCGGUCUCCACAGGGCGGCGUGCCGGCUAACGGCCGGGCGGCAAUGCCGACGGAAAGUGCCACAGAAAACAUACCGCCACGGCAUGUUCGGGGUAAGGGUGAAAUGGUGCGGUAAGAGCGCACCGCGUCGCGGGCAACCGGGAUGGCAGGGCAAACCCCACGCGGAGCAAGGCCAAAUAGGGGGCGAAGCGGCGGCCCGCCGCAUUGGAGUCCCGGGUGGGCCGCUAGAGGCGACUGGCGACAGUCGUCCCAGAUGAAUGGCUGCCACCCGUCCUAAGACGGGGACAGAAACCGGCUUACAGGCCGUCCGCCCAC